GCGGAUGUGAUCUAGUCUGGUUAGGAUUGAAGCUUCCCAAGCUUCCUGCUCGGGUUCGAAUCCCGGCAUCCGCA
rfam:Euryarchaeota archaeon SG8-5 WOR_8-12_5068, whole genome shotgun sequence.